GGGACAAAAAAAGUAAAUAAAAAAAAAAAAAGUUUAUAUUAAUAGUAAAUGCCUAUAUAAAAGCUUCUGAAGUAUUGAUAAUUGUAGGAAGAAAGGAAACAGGUGAUAUUCAUCACCAUUUAUUUCCUGUCACAUGACAAUAAGGGCAUAGGCAAGGGUAAAAUCAUGGAGAAGAAACUCUGAUUGAUGACAUGCAAGAAUUUCACACUGCUCAUCUUCAAUUUCAGUCAUGGUUAAAUCAUUUCAUUUUGGGGGCUCCUAGCCUCAGCCGGAAGUCCUCCUCCAUAAGAGGAAGGCCGUCUCUCAACUUGACUUUUGGUUCCCAACCCAGCAAUUCCUUUGCCUUUGUGAUGUCAGACUUCCUCUGUCUUGGAUCAUCAGGAGUGUUCUCCACCAUCUUUAUUUCCACAUUAGGAUUGAUAAGCUCCUUCACAUUCUCGGCAAGUUCAAUCAUGGUAAAUUCACCUGG
rnacentral:misc_RNA from 1 species